CUUAUUUAUAUUACCUUAUUUAUAUUAUUAUUAUUAUAUAUUAUUAUUAUAUUUUUAUUUAUUUAUAUUAUAUAUUUAGGUGUUUAUAUGAAUUUAAUAUGACACUAUUAUAAUAAAUUAUCUACAUAUCAAGAGAACAUUGAUAACAAGGUGGACUUGGAAAUUGCUAUUUGCUUGCCGAUAGAGGCUAUCCCCACAACCCUAUCUUUUAACGUGAUUAAUUAACCCACAUACUCAAUCGGAACGAUUUAAAAUGAAUCACAUAUUAAAACAAGAAAUACUAUAGAGAGAUGCAUUGGUGUUUGUAAAAGAAGACUCCCUGUAUAUCAUUGAAAAGUAGAUUAAAACUAGAAAAUAUGCAAGCUGUUAUUAUAGCUGCCAUGCUGCAUAAUAUCGUCAGAAGUAUGAAUUUAGAAGAAUUAGAAUCAGAAAUUUCAGUCGCAGAUACAUUACAGGAAAAUAAUAUAAUUGUUCGUAGCAAUUUUUCAAAACUUACAUCUGAAAUACAACUAUGUACUUAUAAAUAAUUGCUUCCAAAGAUAAUUUAUAAAAUAAACUCCAAAGAUAA